rnacentral:misc_RNA from 1 species
GGAAGGAUCAUUAACGUAUCAUUUCCACAAUCCCUUUCAUGUUAUCAAAUCAAUAUUCAUGAUCUUUCAUUGAUAACAUUCUAUGCUUGUCAUAGAUCUUAGAGGAGUUUUCCAACUUCGGUUGAAAAUUAAGAUCAUCCUCGAAUUAUUAUUUUUACCAUGUAAAAUCAAAUCAGAAUUGUUGAGAUUUAGAGAAAUUUAAAUUUAAAAUGAAAAACAAAAACAACUGUUAGCAACGGAUACCUAGGCUCUUGUAACGAUGAAGAACGUAGCAAAGUGCGAUAACUCGUGUGAAUUGCGGAAUUCGUGAAUCAUCAAAUUUUUGAACGCAAAUGGCGCCAAUACUUGUAUUGGCACACCUAUUUGAGUGUUGGCUAAAAUCUUCUCAACCAUUCUAAAUGAUUGAGAGAUGUUGAAUGUCUAUCUUCUUCUGAGGAUUGUCAUUUUAAAUGUAUCAUUCGAAACCUUUCACUGUGACUUUCAACGGAAACUAUGAAGGAUAAUCGAUACCAAAUCUAGCCCUCUAAUUUCUUUCGAGAAGUUAUUGAAAAUCAACCUCAAAUUAGGUGAGAGUACUCGCUGAAUUUAAGCAUAUUAAUAAGCGAAGGAAAAGAAACUAACAAGGAUUCCCUUAGUAACGGCGAGUGAAGCGGGAAGAGCUCAAAUUUAAAAUCUGCAACCAUUGGUUGUCGAAUUGUAGUUUAAAGAUUCAUAUUCGUUGGAGUAAGCAAGGUUAAAAUCUCCUGGAAAGAGGUAUCAAAGAGGGUGAAAAUCCCGUUUGAAGCUUUGUUUAUUUUAACAUAUGUUUAUGAUUCAUAGAGUCGGGUUGUUUGGGAAUGCAAUCUUAAAUGGGUGGUAAAUCUCAUCUAAAGCUAAACAUUGACAAGAGACCGAUAGCAAACAAGUACCGUGAGGGAAAGGUGAAAAGAACUUUGAAAAGAGAGUUAAAAUUACUUGAAAUUGUUAACAGGGGAACACUUUAAUUCUCGAAUGAACUUGAUUAAAUCAGCUUUUAUUGGUAUGUAAUUCUUUAUCAUUUAUGUCAAAGUAGUGAUAGGGGAGUCAGUAUUCAUAGAGGUGCACUUUGAUUAAGAUCACUCAACGAGUGUUUUGAUGGGAUGAAAAGUAGAUAAAUGCGGUAGUAUCCUUACCUUCGGGUUUGUUUAUGAAGCUUUGACCAACUAAUUCCAUUAAGACUCGAGAAAACUCUGCCUCAAGGCUGUGAUGUGUGCCAUUUGUUGUAUUUAAGUAUUGGACUAAAAAUUAGUGUUGUAUUUAUGUAUAAUUAAUGAGUAUACUAACAAUAGAGUUUAUGUUGAUAGAGGAUUAAAAUGACCCGUCUUGAAACACGGACCAAGGAGUGUAGCACAGGUGCGAGUCUAAGAGUGGAAAAACUUUAAGGCGAAAUGAAAGUGACAAGGUCAGACAGUAGCGAUACUAGCAUGAUCGAUCAACCUGGAUAGAUUUUGAAAGGAUUGAAUCAUAGCAUUUAUGGUACGACCCGAAAGAUGGUGAACUAUACUUGGGAAGGACAAAGUCAGAGGAAACUCUGAUGGAGGUUCGAAGGGGUUCUGACGUGCAAAUCGAUCUUCAUACCUGAGUAUAGGGGCGAAAGACUAAUCGAACCAUCUAGUAGCUGGUUCCCUC